GAAUCUUGCGCAAUGGGCGAAAGCCUGACGCAGCCAUGCCGCGUGAAUGAUGAAGGUCUUAGGAUUGUAAACUUCUUUCACCGGGGAAGAUAAUGACGGUACCCGGAGAAGAAGCCCCGGCUAACUUCGUGCCAGCAGCCGCGGUAAUACGAAGGGGGCUAGCGUUGCUCGGAAUUACUAGGCGUAAAGGGCGCGUAGGCGGAGAUUUAAGUCAGGGGUGAAAGCCCGGGGCUCAACCUCGGAAUUGCCUUUGAUACUGGAUAUCUUGAGUUCGGGAGAGGUGAGUGGAAUGCCGAGUGUAGAGGUGAAAUUCGUAGAUAUUCGGCGGAACACCAGUGGCGAAGGCGACUCACUGGCCCGAUACUGACGCUGAGGCGCGAAAGCGUGGGGAGCAAACA
rnacentral:rRNA from 1 species